GAUCCCGCCUACGGGCGGGGUUAAGUGGUAGGGGAGCGUUCUAUGGUAGGUCGAAGGGGUACCGAGAGGAGCCCUGGACGAAAUAGAAGUGAUUAUGCCGGUAUGAGUAGCGAAAAUCCCGAUGAGAAAACGGGACGCCGAAAAUCUAAGGUUUCCUGGGGAAGGUUAAUCCGCCCAGGGUUAGUCGAUCCUAAGCCGAGGCCGAAAGGCGUAGGCGAUGGACAAUCCGUUAAUAUUCGGAUACCACCUGUUUGGUGUUUGAGUUUUGGAGUGACGCAGAAGGUUAAACCAUCGCGCUGUAAGGAUGUGCGCGUCCAAGCCUGUAGCUUUGCCGCAAGGCAAGGUGAGGGGUGUUAGGGAGCCUGAUCUACGGAGAGGGUAAACUGGUUGAUACCACGCUGCCUAGAAAAACCUCUAAAAUGAAUCAAACGGGUGAUCGUACCGUAAACCGACACAGGUAGAUGGGGAAAAUAUCCUAAGGCGCUCGAUAUAACCCUUGUUAAGGAACUAGGCAAAAUAGCCCCGUAACUUCGGAAGAAGGGGUGCCCCGAAUGGUAAACGUCCUGCGACGCGAGCUGUUCGGAGUUUCAAUAAAGUGGCUCUUGUGACUGUUUAGCAAAAACACAUGUCUCUGCUAACUCGCUGAGAGGAAGUAUAGGGACUGACACCUGCCCGGUGCUGGAAGGUUAAGGGGAAUUGUUACCCCGCCAAUUGGCGGGGGAAGCUCUGAACCGAAGCCCCAGUAAACGGCGGCCGUAACUAUAACGGUCCUAAGGUAGCGAAAUUCCUUGUCGGGUAAGUUCCGACCCGCACGAAUGGUGUAACAACAGGAGCGCUGUCUCAACAGGGGUAUCGGUGAAAUUGUAGCAGCGGUGAAGAUGCCGCGAACCCGCGACUAGACGAAAAGACCCCGGAACCUUUACUGUACUCUGAUACUGGACUUUGGUUCGAUAUGUGUAGGAUAGGUGGGAGGCUUUGAAGCUCGGGCGUUAGCUUGAGUGGAGCCAACCGUGAAAUACCACCCUUAUUUAACUAGGGUUCUAACCCGCAGCCGUGAAUCCGGCUGGGGGACAAUGCCAGACGGGCAGUUUGACUGGGGCGGUUACCUCCUAAAUUGUAACGGAGGUGUUCAAAGGUUUCCUCAGUGCGGUCGGCAAUCGCACGCAGAGCGUAAAGGUAUAAGGUAGCUUAACUGCGAGACCUACAAGUCGAGCAGAUACGAAAGUAGGACUUAGUGAUCCGGCGGUAGAAUAUGGAAUCGCCGUCGCUCAACGGAUAAAAGGUACUCCGGGGAUAACAGGCUUAUCUUCUCCAAGAGUUCAUAUCGACGAGAAGGUUUGGCACCUCGAUGUCGGCUCAUCGCAUCCUGGGGCUGAAGAAGGUCCCAAGGGUCC
rnacentral:rRNA from 1 species